rnacentral:rRNA from 1 species
AAUGAACGCUGGCGGCGUGCCUAACACAUGCAAGUCGAGCGGAGUCAGUAAGAGGAAGUUUUCGGAUGGAAUCUUAUUGAUUUAGCGGCGGACGGGUGAGUAACGCGUGAGCGACCAACCUUGCACAGGGGGAUAACGGACCGAAAGGUUCACUAAUACCGCAUGAGACCACGGUGUUGCAUGACACAGGGGUCAAAGGAGCAAUCCGGUGCAAGACGGGCUCGCGUCCGAUUAGGUAGUUGGAGGGGUAACGGCCCACCAAGCCUAUGAUCGGGAGCCGACCUGAGAGGGGGAUCGGCCAAAUUGGAACUGAGAGACGGUCCAAACUACGACGGGAGGCAGCAGUGGGGAAUAUUGGGCAAUGGGGGAAACCCUGACCCAGCAACGCCGCGUGAAGGAAGAAGGUUUUCGGAUUGUAAACUUCUGUCCUUGGUGAAGAGAAGAAGACGGUAGCCAAGGAGGAAGCCCCGGCUAACUACGUGCCAGCAGCCGCCGUAACAC